UUAAGUCAAAGCUUCGUAGUCGGAUUCCGGUUUCAGAAGGGCGCGGUCGGCCGUUUGGUCUGUACUGCGUUGUCUUGACUUCCUGAUGAGGACAUGCUCUUGGUUAACGCUGAGACAUGGAGUCAUCGUGGUUACUUUGAAAAAAUUAGAGUGUUCAAAGCGGGCUUACGCUUGAAUAUAUUAGCAUGGAAUAACACUAUAGGACUCCUGUCCUAUCUCGUUGGUCUCGGGAUGGGAGUAAUGAUUAAGAGGAACAGUUGGGGGCAUUCGUAUUUCAUUGUCAGAGGUGAAAUUCUUGGAUUUAUGAAAGACGAACUUCUGCGAAAGCAUUUGCCAAGGAUGUUUUCAUUAAUCAAGAACGAAAGUUGGGGGCUCGAAGAUGAUUAGAUACCAUCCUAGUCUCAACCAUAAACGAUGCCGACUAGGGAUUGGUGGAUGUUAAUUGAUGACUUCACCAGCACCUUAUGAGAAAUCAAAGUUUUUGGGUUCCGGGGGGAGUAUGGUCGCAAGGCUGAAACUUAAAGGAAUUGACGGAAGGGCACCACCAGGCGUGGAGCCUGCGGCUUAAUUUGACUCAACACGGGGAAACUUACCAGGUCCAGACAUAAGUAUGAUUGACAGAUUGAGAGCUCUUUCUUGAUUCUAUGGGUGGG
rnacentral:rRNA from 1 species